rnacentral:rRNA from 1 species
UAAGGAGGAUCCGAGCGUUAUCCGGAUUUAUUGGGUUUAAAGGGUGCGUAGGCGGCCUUUUAAGUCAGCGGUGAAAGUCUGUGGCUCAACCAUAGAAUUGCCGUUGAAACUGGGGGGCUUGAGUAUGUUUGAGGCAGGCGGAAUGCGUGGUGUAGCGGUGAAAUGCUUAGAUAUCACGAAGAACUCCGAUUGCGAAGGCAGCAUACCGGCGCCCGACUGACGCUGAAGCACGAAAGCGUGGGUAUCGAACAGG